GACGAACGCUGGCGGCGUGCUUAACACAUGCAAGUCGAACGGAAAGGCCCUGCUUUUGUGGGGUGCUCGAGUGGCGAACGGGUGAGUAACACGUGAGUAACCUGCCCUUGACUUUGGGAUAACUUCAGGAAACUGGGGCUAAUACCGGAUAGGAGCUCCUGCUGCAGGGUGGGGGUGGGAAAGUUUCGGCGGUUGGGGAUGGACUCGCCGCUUAUCAGCUUGUUGGUGGGGUAGUGGCUUACCAAGGCUUUGACGGGUAGCCGGCAUGAGAGGGUGACCGGCCACAUUGGGACUGAGAUACGGACCAGACUCCUACGGGAGGCAGCAGUGGGGAAUAUUGCACAAUGGGCGGAAGCCUGAUGCAGAGACGCCGCGUGCGGGAUGACGGCCUUCGGGUUGUAAACAGCUUUCGCCUGUGACGAAGCGUGAGUGACGGUAAUGGGUAAAGAAGCACCGGCUAACUACGUG
rnacentral:rRNA from 1 species